CGAUGAGAUACUUUCCGAAACCAUAAUAACCUACAACAAUGCGAUCCACUCUAGUACAAAUUUAACUCCAUUCGAACUUUUUAGUGGCCGCACUCACAUCUUUGAAAAAACAAUCAAAUUCGACAGUGAACACGAUUACCUACAAAAACUUAACGAAUUCCAAACUGAACUAUACCCGACCUUAAAGAAACACAUGGCGGACGCAACGAAAAGACGGAUAGAUCACUUAAACGAGAACAGGGCAACCCCCCCUGACUUACCGUAAGCAUAAGGUUUUACUGGACAGCGGAGUAACAUUACGAACAAUAAGGAAACAAAAACUACACAAACAAAAAAUUGACCUUGGGAACGACUCAACGGCUCGUUAGCGAAAUAUUGGAUAAAGACCAACCCCUUUUAAAAAUCAACCUGGGUACAGCGAGAGUGGUAAAAUCAUUUAAAAUAUUUAAACAUGUAAUUCACCUAAAAAAUUAUGAGGAAUCGGCAGCUAAAAUACAGGAGGUGAUAGGAAACCUACCCGACGAACAGGGUUUUGAAGAUUUGAAACUCACUUUACACCAAAAAUUAUCUCAAGUUCAACAAAGACUAAAUUCCUUGCUUCCCAACAAUGGGGGUAAUAGGCCCAGGAGAGGGUUAAUUAAUGGAUUAGGCCACAUAGUUAAAAUAGUUUCAGGAAAUAUGGACGCCUAUGACGAGGCAAAAAUAAACAAAAACUUAGAGGCCUUACGCAGUAAUUCCGAAACAAACCUUAUUUUUCAAAACGAAACACUUGUAAGAUUUGAGGAAAUAACUAACCACAUUAACAGGGAGCAAGAGCUUAUAGGCAAUUUUGUAAAUUCAUACCAGAAUAAAAUCUUUAAACAAAUAGAUGAGGAACAGAAAAACAUUCAACUUAUUCAAUAUAUAGACAGGAUUAAUUUCAACAUAGAUUUACUUUACAAUCACUUAAAUAAUAUAGCAGAAAGCCUACUAUUUGCCAAAUUAAAAAUAGUCCCGAAAUACUUAUUGAAUUCUAUGGAAAUGGAAAAAUUAAAAAUUUUACUAGCAGAUCAGAAAGUAGAAGUUCAGUUGGAACACGAAUUAUAUAAUGUGCUUUCAUUAGAAUCCACUACUAUUAAUAAAACACUCAUAUUUAACAUUAAAGUUCCAAUUCUUUCCCAACAAUCUUACAAUUUAUACAGACUCAUAGCACUACCACUUAACAAAACAAUGUUUGUAAACGUACCGAAUGUUAUUAUUAAGAAUGAUGUAGAAAUUAAGAUUAUUGAUAUACCUUGUAUAAAAGUGGGUAGUACACAUGUUUGCGAAACUCCUUCGACUCCGAAU